AGCAGCCGCGGUAAUUCCAGCUCCAAUAGCGUAUAUUAAAGUUGUUGCAGUUAAAAAGCUCGUAGUUGAAUUUCGGGGUUAGUAGGUUGGUCGUGCCUCAGGUAUGUACUGGUCUCACUGAUUCCUCCUUCCUGAUGAACCGUAAUGCCAUUAAUUUGGUGUUGCGGGGAAACUGGACUGUUACUUUGAAAAAAUUAGAGUGUUUAAAGCAGGCUAACGCUUGAAUACAUUAGCAUGGAAUAAUGAAAUAGGACGUUCGAUCCUAUUUUGUUGGUUUCUAGGAUUGACGUAAUGAUUAAUAGGGAUAGUUGGGGGCAUUAGUAUUCAAUUGUCAGAGGUGAAAUUCUUGGAUUUAUUGAAGACUAACUACUGCGAAAGCAUUUGCCAAGGAUGUUUUCAUUAAUCAAGAACGAAAGUUAGGGGAUCGAAGACGAUCAGAUACCGUCGUAGUCUUAACCAUAAACUAUGCCGACUAGGGAUCGGAUGAUGUUAAUUUUUAAUGUACUCAUUCGGCGCCUUA
rnacentral:rRNA from 1 species